GACGAACGCUGGCGGCGUGCUUAACACAUGCAAGUCGAACGGAAAGGCCCUGCUUUUGUGGGGUGCUCGAGUGGCGAACGGGUGAGUAACACGUGAGUAACCUGCCCUUGACUUUGGGAUAACUUCAGGAAACUGGGGCUAAUACCGGAUAGGAGCUCCUGCUGCAUGGUGGGGGUUGGAAAGUUUCGGCGGUUGGGGAUGGACUCGCGGCUUAUCAGCUUGUUGGUGGGGUAGUGGCUUACCAAGGCUUUGACGGGUAGCCGGCCUGAGAGGGUGAACGGCCACAUUGGGACUGAGAUACGGCCCAGACUCCUACGGGAGGCAGCAGUGGGGAAUAUUGCACAAUGGGCGGAAGCCUGAUGCAGCAACGUCGCGUGCGGGAUGACGGCCUUCGGGUUGUAAACCGCUUUCGCAUGUGACGAAGCGUGAGUGACGGUAAUGGGUAAAGAAGCACCGGCUAACUACGUG
rnacentral:rRNA from 1 species